rnacentral:rRNA from 1 species
UACAGAGGGUGCAAGCGUUGUUCGGAAUUAUUGGGCGUAAAGCGCGUGUAGGCGGCAUGGCAAGUCGGGUGUGAAAGCCCUCAGCUCAACUGAGGAACUGCCCUCCAAACUGCUUGGCUUGAGUCCGGGAGAGGUGAGUGGAAUUCCCAGUGUAGCGGUGAAAUGCGUAGAUAUUGGGAGGAACACCAGUGGCGAAGGCGGCUCACUGGACCGGAACUGACGCUGAGGCGCGAAAGCGUGGGGAGCAAACGGG